CCCUUAGAUGUUCUGGGCCGCACGCGUGCUACACUGAGUGGAUCAGCGGGUCAGGUUGCGCGAAAGCGUUUCCUAAUCUUUAAAUCCGCUCGUGAUGGGGAUUGACGGUUGCAAUUUUCUGUCAUGAACGAGGAAUACCUUGUAAGCGCGGGUCAUCAUCCCGCGCUGAAUACGUCCCUUCCCUUUGUACACACCGCCCGUCGCACCUACCGAUUGGAUGGUCCGGUGAAUUAUUCGGACUGUAACACAUUCAGUUCUGGAUGCAGUUACGGGAAGUUUUGUGAACCUUACCACUUAGAGGAAGGAGAAGUCGUAACA
rnacentral:rRNA from 1 species